UGGAGGUGUUCUGUAGCAGCCCAGGGGCAGAGAGCUGACUCACCAGACAACAGACACAGUAGCAGUGACCAGCACAUGACUGCUCUCAGAGAGGAGACGGUAUUGGACUAUGCUUCUAAAUUAUGUACCACACUGCUGCAUUGAUUCAGGCCUUUGUUUGAAGAAUGUAUUGAGAUAUUGAGGGAAGCUGGCAUAUGAAGUGGAGAAGGAGGCAGAACUGGCCCUACAUGUGCACACACGAACACUGCCUUCUACUGAGAUUGCAAGGUGCCAUGGAAGUAUCCUGGGUCUUUGUAUGCAGCCUAGAAAGGAGGUCUUCGGGAUAUAAUUCAAUUUCAUGAUGCAAUUAAGAAAGAAGUCUAAACCAAAGGACACUUACCGCACUGCAGCAACAUGUGGCUAUUUAUCUAGCGUGAUUUCACAGAGAAUUUUUAGGUCAUCCAGGGUUUCUGUGCCUGUAGUUUUUCAUCUCUCAAAAUGGGAUUCCUGACUCAUAGUGUGGGGCGAGGCUGAAAAUGCAUGGUAUAUAUGGAAAUGCUUUCUAACUGGAAGGUGACUAAGGACACAGGUACUGUGGUGUGGUCCUCAGAGCAAAUCCUUUGUGCUUCUUUCUUUUUUAUUAUACUUUAAGUUCUGGGGUACAUGUGCAGAACGUCCAGUUUUUGUUACAUAGGUAUGCAUGUAUAGGUAUGCGUGUGUCAUGGUGGUUUGCUGUAACCAUCAACCUGUCAUCUACAUUAGGUAUUUCUCUUAAUGCUAUCCCUCCCCUAGCCCCCCACCCCCUGACAGGCCCCAGUGUGUGAUGUUCCACUCCCUGUGUCCAUGUGUUCUCAUUGUUCAACUCCCACUUAUGAGUGAGAAUAUGCAGUGUUUGUUUGGUUUUCUGUCCUUGUGUUAGUUUAGUGAGAAUGAUGGUUUCCAGCUUCAUCCAUGUCCCUGCAAAGGACAUGAACUCAUUAUUUUUUAUGGCUGCAUAGUAUUCCAUGGUGUAUAUGUGCC
rnacentral:lncRNA from 10 species